rnacentral:rRNA from 1 species
GACGAACGCUGGCGGCGUGCCUAAUACAUGCAAGUUGAGCGCUGAAGGUUGGUACUUGUACCGACUGGAUGAGCAGCGAACGGGUGAGUAACGCGUGGGGAAUCUGCCUUUGAGCGGGGGACAACAUUUGGAAACGAAUGCUAAUACCGCAUAAAAACUUUAAACACAAGUUUUAAGUUUGAAAGAUGCAAUUGCAUCACUCAAAGAUGAUCCCGCGUUGUAUUAGCUAGUUGGUGAGGUAAAGGCUCACCAAGGCGAUGAUACAUAGCCGACCUGAGAGGGUGAUCGGCCACAUUGGGACUGAGACACGGCCCAAACCCCUACGGGAGGCAGCAGUAGGGAAUCUUCGGCAAUGGACGAAAGUCUGACCGAGCAACGCCGCGUGAGUGAAGAGGGUUUUCGGAUCGUAAAACUCUGUUGGUAGAGAAGAACGUUGGUGAGAGUGGAAAGCUCAUCAAGUGACGGUAACUACCCAGAAAGGGACGGCUAACUACGUGCCAGCCGCCGCUGUAA